rnacentral:rRNA from 1 species
AACGAACGCUGGCGGCAUGCCUAACACAUGCAAGUCGAACGAGACCUUCGGGUCUAGUGGCGCACGGGUGCGUAACGCGUGGGAACCUGCCCUUAGGUUCGGAAUAACUCCCCGAAAGGGGUGCUAACACCGGAUAAUGUCUUCGGACCAAAGAUUUAUCGCCUUUGGAUGGGCCCGCGUUGGAUUAGCUAGUUGGUAGGGUAAAAGCCUACCAAGGCGAGGAUCCAUAGCUGGUCUGAGAGGAUGAUCAGCCACACUGGGACUGAGACACGGCCCAGACUCCUACGGGAGGGAGCAGUGGGGAAUAUUGGACAAUGGGCGAAAGCCUGAUCCAGCAAGGCCGGGUGAGUGAUGAAGGUCUUAGGGUUGUAAAGCUCUUUUACCCGGGAUGAUAAUGACGGUACCGGGAGAAUAAGCUCCGGCUAACUCCGUG